ensembl:lncRNA
CGGGGUCCCCAGGGCCUCAUCUCCGACCGGCGGAACGGGGCCGGAGCGCUGAGGCUCGGUCCUGCCCUGCCUUGCCCUUACCCGGCGGGCUCCUCGUCUUCCCCCCCCACACCUGGAAAAGCGUCGUGGUGUGCUCCCUGCCUUAGAGCCCCAAAACGUGGGGGAGCGGUGCAGAGUGCAAGUGCAGCGCGAGUAGAGGGAAAACAAAGAGGCUGCCUGAGGAACGGGCUGUGCAUGGGGUGCUUGGAAACGGGAAGGGGUAGAUUGGCUGCUCAGGUAUCGUGGUGCUCAGGCUGCUCUUUGAGACACCUGCAGCAAGGCUGUUUCUUCAGGGGAUGUUAAGUCUGAGUAGCAGCCCAAAGAGUUCUCAUGUCCAACUUGAGCUGGUUAUCUUCCUCUUAAAACUGGGUAUUUAUGGACAUGGAUGAGAUCCCCCUGAGCCUCCUCUUUCCCAGGCUGAGCAGUCCCAGAUCUCUCAGCCCCUCCUCACAGGAGGGGUGCUCCUUCAUCACUUAGUAGCCCUUCCCUGGACUCUCUCCA